GAAUGCAAUGAUGAUUAUUUUUCCCUAUUGGUUUGAGUGCCGAAAUGAUGGCAUAUUGUAUUAGCUCUAUCUGAGCAUUC
rnacentral:snoRNA from 2 species